rnacentral:rRNA from 1 species
GAUGAACGCUGGCGGCGUGCUUAACACAUGCAAGUCGAACGGAAAGGCUCCUGCUUGCAGGGGUACUCGAGUGGCGAACGGGUGAGCAACACGUGGGUGAUCUGCCCUGCACUUCGGGAUAAGCCUGGGAAACUGGGUCUAAUACCGGAUAGGACCACAUUUUGGAUGGUGUGGUGGAAAGUUUUUCGGUGUGGGAUGAGCUCGCGGCCUAUCAGCUUGUUGGUGGGGUAAUGGCCUACCAAGGCGUCGACGGGUAGCCGGCCUGAGAGGGUGUACGGCCACAUUGGGACUGAGAUACGGCCCAGACUCCUACGGGAGGCAGCAGUGGGGAAUAUUGCACAAUGGGCGCAAGCCUGAUGCAGCGACGCCGCGUGGGGGAUGACGGCCUUCGGGUUGUAAACUCCUUUCGCUAGGGACGAAGCGCAAGUGACGGUACCUGGAGAAGAAGCACCGGCUAACUACGUG